rnacentral:rRNA from 1 species
GAUGAACGCUAGCUACAGGCUUAACACAUGCAAGUCGAGGGGUAACGAGAGGAAAGCUUGCUUUCCUUGUCGACGACCGGCGCACGGGUGAGUAACGCGUAUCCAACCUGCCCCCAACUAGGGAAUAACCUUGCGAAAGUAAGACUAAUACCCUAUAAUUUCCUCAGAUGACAUCUGACGAGGAAUAAAGAUUUAUCGGUUGUGGAUGGGGAUGCGUCUGAUUAGCUGGUUGGCGGGGUAACGGCCGACCAAGGCAACGAUCAGUAGGGGUUCGGAGAGGAAGGUCCGCCAGAAUGGAGCUGCGGCACGGUCCAAACUCCUACGGGAGGCAGCAGUGAGGAAUAUUGGUCAAUGGGCGGAAGCCUGAACCAGCCAAGUAGCGUGCAGGAUGACGGCCCUAUGGGUUGUAAACUGCUUUUAUACAGGAAUAAAGUUAGCCACGUGUGGUUAUUUGUAGGAACUGUAUGAAUAAGGACCGGCUAAUUCCGUGCCAGCAGCCGCUGUAA